GACGAACGCUGGCGGCGUGCUUAACACAUGCAAGUCGAACGGAAAGGCCCUGCUUUUGUGGGGUGCUCGAGUGGCGAACGGGUGAGUAACACGUGAGUAACCUGCCCUUGACUUUGGGAUAACUUCAGGAAACUGGGGCUAAUACCGGAUAGGAGCUCCUGCUGCAUGGUGGGGGUUGGAAAGUUUCGGCGGUUGGGGAUGGACUCGCGGCUUAUCAGCUUGUUGGUGGGGUAGUGGCGUACCAAGGCUUUGACGGGUAGCCGGCCUGAGAGGGUGACCGGCCACAUUGGGACUGAGAUACGGCCCAGACUCCUACGGGAGGCAGCAGUGGGGAAUAUUGCACAAUGGGCGGAAGCCUGAUGCAGCAACGCCGCGUGCGGGAUGACGGCCUUCGGGUUGUAAACCGCUUUCGCCUGUGACGAAGCGUGAGUGACGGGAAUGGGUAAAGAAGCACCGGCUAACUACGU
rnacentral:rRNA from 1 species